UGGAGGGCAAGUCUGGUGCCAGCAGCCGCGGUAAUUCCAGCUCCAAUAGCGUAUAUUAAAGUCGUUGCAGUUAAAAAGCUCGUAGUUGAAUUUUGGGUCUGGCCGGGCGGUCCGCCCUCUGGGUGAGCACUGUUCCGACGUCGGGCCUAUCCUUCUGGUGAGUCGGCAUGUCCUUUAUUGGGUGUGUCGGGGAACCAGGACCAUUACCUUGAAAAAAUUAGAGUGUUCAAAGCAGGCGUAUGCUCGGAUACAUUAGCAUGGAAUAAUGAAAUAGGACGCGUGGUGCUAUUUUGUUGGUUUCUAGAACCGCCGUAAUGAUUAAUAGGGAUAGUUGGGGGCAUUAGUAUUCAAUUGUCAGAGGUGAAAUUCUUGGAUUUAUUGAAGACUAACUUCUGCGAAAGCAUUUGCCAAGGAUGUUUUCAUUAAUCAAGAACGAAAGUUAGGGGAUCGAAGACGAUCAGAUACCGUCGUAGUCUUAACCAUAAACUAUGCCGACUAGGAAUCGGGCGAUGUUAUUCUCAUGACUCGCCCGGCGCCUUAUGGGAAAC
rnacentral:rRNA from 1 species